AUAUACUCAACUUAUAUAUGUAUAACAUAUCCAAAAAUCACAACGAUUCAACGGUCAGAUUAAAAAUUAUAACUCACACAAUAAAGCUGUAAGAACACUAAUUUGAUCUUUUAAUACCUCCAAUCUGACAAAAUACUGAUAAAAUACCUCAACAUUAAUUCCUUCAUUAAUAACCACAUAAAUAAAUCCAUCAUUUAUAUCCACAUCAAAUAAAUAUUUUUUUAUCAUAUGAAUUAAUAAUUAAUUAUUCACAAAUAAUAUUACAGAAUCACAGUUCUGACAACCAGGAAGUUCCCAGGAAAGAGAGGGCUUUCCGAUAAGGAUUUCUCCUUACUGGCGCGCAAUUAGGUGACCAAACCUCUCCUUGACAGAACUUUCUAGACAUUUCCAAUAAUGCUAUCUAAUAAUAUUAUUCAAAUAAUAUGAAUUAUUGAUCUGAUAAUGGAAAAUAUUGUGCAGUGACAAUUAUUGAAACAACAAUAAUAUAAAAUAUCAACGCAGCAAUUAUUGAAUCA
rnacentral:lncRNA from 1 species